rnacentral:rRNA from 1 species
AACGAACGCUGGCGGCAUGCCUAACACAUGCAAGUCGAACGAGACCUUCGGGUCUAGUGGCGCACGGGUGCGUAACGCGUGAGAACCUGCCCUUAGGUUCGGAAUAACUCCCCGAAAGGGGUGCUAAUACCGGAUAAUGUCUUCGGACCAAAGAUUUAUCGCCUUUGGAUGGGCCCGCGUUGGAUUAGCUAGUUGGUAGGGUAAAAGCCUACCAAGGCGACGAUCCAUAGCUGGUCUGAGAGGUUGAUCAGCCACACUGGGACUGAGACACGGCCCAGACUCCUACGGGAGGCAGCAGUGGGGAAUAUUGGACAAUGGGCGAAAGCCUGAUCCAGCAAUGCCGCGUGAGUGAUGAAGGCCUUAGGGUUGUAAAGCUCUUUUACCCGGGAUGAUAAUGACAGUACCGGGAGAAUAAGCUCCGGCUAACUCCGUG